UUUGCAUCAUCAUUCAUCAUCAACACGAUUCUAAGUAGACGUGAAUAAUUUUCAUAAACUAGUAGUGAACAAGACACUUAAGGUCUCAAACGCAACCAUGAUUCCAAUUUCCAAUUAAAGCUUGAAAUUGGCCAAUAUUUUCAGUAAUUCUGCUACCUAAAUCUCUUCAUGGAACUUGGAUUACAAUUUACAAACAAAAAUGACUUUCUUGAACUUGAACAACUCAAAGUCUCAAAGAACAAAUGGGCUUCCAUUUUUUAUUUUUCCUUCUUUUUUCACCAAAAUAAUGCUGGUAAGUUAUUUUUUUGUUUUGGAAACUGAAUUUCUUGAAAUCGGCAUGUGUAAGAAACUAUCAACAUAUAGACCUUUCCCUCCAUAGACCAUAACCAUCUAAGAACUUAAACAAAAAUCUAACAAUAAAUUAUGGGCACUGAAGUAAUAGGAAACGGGUUAUAAUUACAUGAAUAGGAAAUUGAAAUAUUGAAUCCCAAAUUCCAUAUAUAAAAUUGCAGCACAUAAUAGGAAUAAUCUCCUUACAAUUCUAAUGAAUUGCUGUCUUCAGUAGUUUGUGGUGGUAGAAUCGCCGAUGGAGGCAGUCGAACAGUCGGUAGCGACAAUAGGGGUAGAUUAAAUGGCUGGGUUUUGCUUCAACAUUUGGAAUCGGAAGCCGUCAAGCCCGGAGACGAGAUUGAAUUGGAAGUGCGAAGGUUUCUUGCAUUGAAUUUCAAUUUGGUAGUGGAAUAUGGGGAUAGGAAUUUGGGACAGUUUGGAGUCUGUGAAUUGAAAAGUGGGAGGGUUUUAUUUUUUGUUACUCCAAUUUUAUCAUUUUCUAUUUCAUAAAAAAAAUUCCUUUUUAAUUCAUGGGUCACGUGACCCGUGGGGACCAACUGCCGGUCCGCCA
rnacentral:lncRNA from 1 species